rnacentral:rRNA from 1 species
AUUGAACGCUGGCGGCAUGCCUUACACAUGCAAGUCGAACGGUAACAGGUCUUCGGAUGCUGACGAGUGGCGAACGGGUGAGUAAUACAUCGGAACGUGCCCGAGAGUGGGGGAUAACGAAGCGAAAGCUUUGCUAAUACCGCAUACGAUCUCAGGAUGAAAGCAGGGGACCGCAAGGCCUUGCGCUCACGGAGCGGCCGAUGGCAGAUUAGGUAGUUGGUGGGAUAAAAGCUUACCAAGCCGACGAUCUGUAGCUGGUCUGAGAGGACGACCAGCCGCACUGGGACUGAGACACGGCCCAGACUCGUACGGGAGGCAGCAGUGGGGAAUUUUGGACAAUGGGCGCAAGCCUGAUCCAGCCAUGCCGCGUGCAGGAUGAAGGCCUUCGGGUUGUGAACUGCUUUUGUACGGAACGAAAAGACUCUGGUUAAUACCUGGGGUCCAUGACGGUACCGUAAGAAUAAGCACCGGCUAACUACGUGCCAGCAGCCGCUGUAA